rnacentral:lncRNA from 1 species
CAUGUUUAAAUGGAAUGCAGCUGCUGCUGCGGCCCUGCGGCAGUUUUCUCGGGCAUGCACGAGUAGUUCAACUGUCUACCAUGACGUCCUUAUAUAGGAGAGAUCAUUAUUGUCACGGUAAACGUAUCAGACUGCUCGGUGACCACGUUUCCUGACAGUCACCACUACGCAUCAUGGGAUAACAUAAACUCUAGCACAAGUAUGAACAAACUGCAGUGGAGCGAUGGCAAACUCCUUGCCAAGAAAACACCGUGAGAAGGACCCAAAGAUGUGCAGAUAGGCACGAGUUCUUCAUGGUGGGAAUCCUGAAGACUGCUACUCUCGGCAGUGCCAUCUAGGAAUUAUUAGGCCAAUGUUAUUGCAAUGGAUGUGAUUUAGCAUUGCUCGUGUUUCCCAAGGGUUUGCUACAAAAGCACCAGGAGACAAGAUGACUUAGCAUCGUAUCGUAUGCAAGUGUGACUGCCCUUUCUGUGAAGGGGUUCGAUGCUGUAGACCGUGCCACGAAAUGGGUGAAAGCCUGUUGCAUUCUUGCUGUGAUACAUCUGCAAGAACUAAGCAAUGCCAUGGAUGUCCAUGUUCUGCACUGAAGAUCCUGUCUCUGCAGAGAAUUUUGGCGGUUCUCAAAGGUACAUCCGGCCCAGUUUAUACAAGCGUAUCGGAGGCUGACUGACGAGCAGUGCAUGGAGGUGUUUCCUAGUCAUCGUGAGAGGUGGCGUGUGCGGACAGUGGUUGAGGCCUUGGAGACUUAUCCAACGCAGACCAUCCGUGGCAUGGCUCAACUCAUCGGCAUGUCUAAGACUCGUGUGUACGAGACACUAAGAGAUGCUUUUUCCAAGCUCGAA